GUAGGUGGCAAGCGUUGUCCGGAAUUAUUGGGCGUAAAGCGCGCGCAGGCGGUUCUUUAAGUCUGAUGUGAAAGCCCACGGCUCAACCGUGGAGGGUCAUUGGAAACUGGAGAACUUGAGUACAGAAGAGGAAAGCGGAAUUCCACGUGUAGCGGUGAAAUGCGUAGAGAUGUGGAGGAACACCAGUGGCGAAGGCGGCUUUCUGGUCUGUAACUGACGCUGAGGCGCGAAAGCGUGGGGGAGCAAACAGGAUUAGAUACCCUGGUAGUCCACGCCGUAAACGAUGAGUGCUAGGUGUUAGGGGGUUUCCGCCCCUUAGUGCUGCAGCUAACGCAUUAAGCACUCCGCCUGGGAGUACGGCCGCAAGGCUGA
rnacentral:rRNA from 1 species